rnacentral:rRNA from 1 species
CCUACGGGGUGCUGCAGUGGGGAAUAUUGGACAAUGGGCGAAAGCCUGAUCCAGCCAUGCCGCGUGUGUGAAGAAGGCCUUCGGGUUGUAAAGCACUUUCAGUGGGGAAGAAAGCCUUGGGGCUAAUACCCUCGAGGAAGGACAUCACCCACAGAAGAAGCACCGGCUAACUCCGUGCCAGCAGCCGCGGUAAUACGGAGGGUGCGAGCGUUAAUCGGAAUUACUGGGCGUAAAGCGCGCGUAGGCGGUCUGAUAAGCCGGUUGUGAAAGCCCCGGGCUCAACCUGGGAACGGCAUCCGGAACUGUCAGGCUAGAGUGCAGGAGAGGAAGGUAGAAUUCCCGGUGUAGCGGUGAAAUGCGUAGAGAUCGGGAGGAAUACCAGUGGCGAAGGCGGCCUUCUGGACUGACACUGACGCUGAGGUGCGAAAGCGUGGGUAGCAAACAGGAUUAGAUACCCUUAGUAGUC